rnacentral:rRNA from 1 species
UAUCUCUGUAGAGUCUGCAUAUCAAUAAGCGGAGGAAAAGAAACUAACAAGGAUUCCCUUAGUAACGGCGAGGUGAAGCGGGAAGAGCUCAAAUUUGAAAUCUUCAAGGUUCUACCUUGACGAAUUGUAGUUUAAAGAAGUGUUUUCUGUUAGAUGAGUAGCAAAAGUUCCUUGGAAUGGGACAUCAUAGAGGGUGAGAAUCCCGUAUUUGGUUAUUCAUUCUAGCUUUGUGAUACACUUUCAAAGAGUCGGAUUGUUUGGGAAUGCAGUCCAAAAUGGGUGGUAAAUUUCAUCUAAAGCUAAAUAUUGGCGAGAGACCGAUAGCGAACAAGUACCGUGAGGGAAAGAUGAAAAGAACUUUGAAAAGAGAGUUAAACAGUACGUGAAAUUGUCAAAAGGGAAGCGUUUGACACCAGUGUUGUUUUUCCGAAAAUCAAUUACGAAUGGCUUGAUUUUGUGUUGUAUUGACCUUAUCAGCUUUCUUCACUUUUUUUGAGUCUCUCUUAAUGCACUUUUCGGUUAACAAGUCAACAUCAAUUUCUUUUGUUGUAAAAGAGUAUUCGGAAGGUGGCUUUCUUUUCGGAGAAAGUGUUUAUAGCCCUAUACUUCUACAAUCGGAGAGAUUGAGGUCUGCAGCGUAGAUCCUUCGGGGUUAGAUACAUUUGUGCUAAGUUGUAGCUUUUCAUAGACAACUUGUUGACUAUGUUUAGUCAUGCGGCUUACUCGCUUAUGCUAUUUUACCUACGCUUAGGAUGUUGACUGAUAUGUAGUCGUA